rnacentral:tRNA from 1 species
GGCUUUGGAGUAUAUAUUACGUUGAAUUGCAAAUUCAAAGAAGUGGUUGAAUAAGCCACCGGAGCUU